rnacentral:rRNA from 1 species
CCUACGGGAGGCAGCAGUGAGGAAUAUUGGUCAAUGGCCGGAAGGCUGAACCAGCCAAGCCGCGUGAAGGAAGAAGGUGCCAAGCAUUGUAAACUUCUUUUGUCAAGGGACAAAAUCAGGCUCGAGAGCCUGACCGAGGGUACUUGAAGAAAAAGCAUCGGCUAACUCCGUGCCAGCAGCCGCGGUAAUACGGAGGAUGCGAGCGUUAUCCGGAUUUAUUGGGUUUAAAGGGUGCGUAGGCGGGCUGUUAAGUCAGCGGUAAAAGUCCGGGGCUCAACCCCUGCGAGCCGUUGAAACUGGGUGUCUUGAGAUGUCGAGAGGUAUGCGGAAUGCGCAGUGUAGCGGUGAAAUGCUUAGAUAUUGCGCAGAACUCCGAUUGCGAAGGCAGCAUACCGGCGGCGAUCUGACGCUGAUGCACGAAAGCGUGGGUAUCGAACAGGAUUAGAUACCCUUGUAGUC